AAAUGGGAGAAUGAUCCAGCUGCCACAUCUGUCAUCACUUUGCUUGCCAGAGUUAAUUCAGCUGAUUUGACUGGGUAAGCGGGUGUCCCCUUCCUCUUUUAUGGUUUCAUGUGCCUCAGUCUCAAAGGUUGGUAGAACACAGGCAUCCUAGGUUGAUGACAAUACCAUUCUUCAGUGAAAGAUAGCUGUGAAAGAUAGAUGAACAAUCCUGCAAGAACCUUCCAACAAGCUCUCCCAAGUAGCCAAUUGCAAGAAAGGGACAGCUAUCUCAUGGCAGAGACCUAAAGUUAUUUCUUACAGAGAAUUUUGAAAAUUAG
rfam:Ophiophagus hannah scaffold3788.1, whole genome shotgun sequence.